UACGUAGGUGGCGAGCGUUGUCCGGAAUUACUUGGCGUAAAGGGCGCGUAGGCGGUUGGAUAAGUCAGCUGUGAAAACCACGGGCUUAACUCGUGGCCUGCAGUUGAGACUGUCUGGCUUGAGUGUGGGAGAGGAGAGUGGAAUUCCUGGUGUAGCGGUGAAAUGCGUAGAUAUCAGGAGGAACACCGGUGGCGAAGGCGGCUCUCUGGACCACAACUGACGCUGAGGCGCGAAAGCUAGGGGAGCAAACAGG
rnacentral:rRNA from 1 species